GGAAUAUAAGAAUCCGUCUCUUAAUUUUUAAUUAGAAAAGCUAAGAACCGGUUUAAGAUAUUUAAGAACCGGUUCUUAGCUUUUUUAGUUAAAAGUUAAGAGACGGGCUCUUAUAUUCC
rfam:Brassica oleracea var. oleracea cultivar TO1000 chromosome C6, whole genome shotgun sequence